CACCAUGAGAGGGCAGUGGAGGGCAGUACCAAAUGUGUUUCCAACAUAAUCAAGUUCCCUGCUUUAUCGACAUUUUGAAAUUGGUCUAGAAGCCUAUGCAGAUGGUCGAUUACAAUAGUAAUAUUAAGAUGUGCAACGCGUUGCGCUAAGAGGUUGAUCUAACUAAAAAUUUUGUAAAUUUCAUGAAGAUUUUUUGAUAACCAAGCAGAUUUUCAUAUGCUAUUCUCAAUGAAUCAACUGCUCUUAAUUUGUUCCAUUUUGCUCCGCAAUUUGUUCUUUAUUUUAUUAAAACAUCUUUAAAUAACAAGUAUAUGAUUUGCUCUUGGGUAUUAAGACUUGGACAUCAGAAAUCCUGGCCAAGAAUGUUUAGAAGUACUGAAAGUUGCCCAAAAUUGUGUGCGCGCAACCUCGACGAGCAGGAUUCGUGAGUGGGGUGGGAGUGGGGGAAGCGACGAAGGCAGCGCCCGGACUCCGAGCGCUCAUUCUUCCUCGAGCCGGUCUCCUAUACUGGUCUCUUGGAAGCACCCCUCUUAUCUUUUACCAA